GAUGAACGCUGGCGGCGUGCUUAACACAUGCAAGUCGAGCGAGAAGUUUUGAAAAGAUUCUUCGGAUGAAAUUUAAAAUGGAAAGCGGCGGACGGGUGAGUAACGCGUAGGCAACCUGCCCCAUACAAAGGGAUAGCAUUUGGAAACGAAUAUUAAUACCUUAUGAAACUUAACUAGUGCAUGCUAGGUAGGUCAAAGAUUUAUCGGUAUGGGAUGGGCCUGCGUCUGAUUAGCUAGUUGGUGAGGUAACGGCUCACCAAGGCGACGAUCAGUAGCCGACCUGAGAGGGUGAACGGCCACAUUGGAACUGAGACACGGUCCAAACUCCUACGGGAGGCAGCAGUGGGGAAUAUUGCACAAUGGGGGAAACCCUGAUGCAGCAACGCCGCGUGAACGAUGAAGGCCUUUGGGUCGUAAAGUUCUGUUCUAGGUGAUGAAAACUGACAGUAACCUAGGAGAAAGCCCCGGCUAACUCCGUGCCAGCAGCCGCGGUAAUACGGAGGGGGCAAGCGUUAUCCGGAAUUAUUGGGCGUAAAGGGUACGUAGGUGGCCUUUUAAGCGUAGGGUAUAAGGCAAUGGCUCAACCAUUGUUCGCCCUAUGAACUGGAAGGCUUGAGUGCAGGAGAGGAAAGCGGAAUUCCUAGUGUAGCGGUGGAAUGCAUAGAUAUUAGGAGGAACAUCAGCGGCGAAGCGGCUUUCUGGACUGCAACUGACACUGAGGUACGAAAGCGUGGGGGAGCAAACAGG
rnacentral:rRNA from 1 species